rnacentral:tRNA from 1 species
GUUCUUGUAGUUGAAUAACAACGGUGGUUUUUCAAGCCACAGGUCCUGGUUAAAUUCCUGGCAGGAACU